GCGCCUUGGGAGGGGGUGGGAGGAGGACAGACUUUUGGCCAGACUGUUUCAAACAAAACCAAAAACCUAAAUAGAGCACUACCAUCCUCUGCUGCUGCAUAUCUGUAGAAAGCAACUUAUUUUUUGGAUUUUUUUUUUUUUAAGAAAAGAAACAAAAAGACCCUAGCAAGCAAAAAAAACAUUUUAAAAAAUGAGUUUUUUCCCUCCUAUUUAAGUCAUUCUUUCUCCUUGCUCUCUACUUUUGGAGAAUGAACUUAACAUCCCGGCUUCUUUUGUUAAGCCAUAGCUGACCUUAAUCUGUGGUUAGUUUAUUAAAAUAAUUAAAAAAAUACUUUGUAAGAAGAGAUAUUUUUGAUAAUAGGACUGAUGUUGAAACUUGGGGUAGGGAUUAGGGGCAAUUUAUAAAGAGGUAGCUAGAGAAAUAUAUAUUUUAGUGAACUAUAACCACAGAUCACAGAUUACUCCCAAUGAGCUGAUCUGUCAUUGGCUCUCCCGCCUCUCCCCAAACCAUCCUUUUCCCCAGAGGGUGGGAGUGUGUCUGUGGACACAGUAGUUGGGGGAGCUCCUUUGCAUUUUGCACAAAGCACAAGUCUGGACAGCCUAUGCUCUGGCCAGCACCAUUUCUAAGAGCUUUAAACUGGAGGACCUAUCCUGGGCCAAUCUUCCCUUUUCUUUAAAUUAUUUCUUUCUGGGGGGAAAAAAAAAUCAACUAUGCAAUUGUAUACACUCCUGGGUGCAUAUGAAGAAGGGGAAUAAGUGUACUUAAUGUGUCUAGAGUGUUAAUUGGGGCUAUUUUUCUGUAUUUGGAUUUCUCUUUUGAGGUGUGUACUCUUAAACCAUCCUGUGGAAUGUAAUCUUUACAUUUGAUCCAAGGCUGACAUGGGCUGGGAGUGUGCGUUGGGGGGACUUGUGUUUGCCAUAUGUUGCUUCUGCCCAAUCAGGAAAGUUGUCAUCCCACCGCCCCCUUGAUAACAAAGUCAGCCAAGACUGUCCUCUUCAUUGGAACUGCUCACAAUUUAGGAAGUUUCCUUUCUCAACAAACUCAAAAAGCCACUUAUUUUCUAAAUCUGAUUGUUGAUUUAAUAAUUUCCAUGGCUAUUAAUUCUUAGGCUUUUAUUUGGAAAUGGAUGUGUUAAGGAAGCAAUGAGGUCAAAGGAGAUAGGUUCCAAAGGAGGGUAU
rnacentral:lncRNA from 1 species